CAGACACAGGAAAGGGUUAGAGCAGCUCCAGUGAUACCAUCAAUAACAGCUCAGUGAUAGGCGGAGCCACCACAGACACCCAAAACACAGCAAAACUCUCUCUCACACAUUCAGUCCCGUCAAGAGAUGACGCUCAUGUAAGCAUGCAACCACACAGUAAUGAACACUGCGAUGAAUAAGAACUGCUACACAGGAAGGGGGAUCUUUAAAACCAUCAGCCUGCAUGACAGACACAAAACAGGAAGACGCAACAGAAGAGACGCACAUCACAUCCUAUCCACACCUAUCUGUUUUGUUGUCACAUUGAUAUCAGCAAAGAGCACAUGUACAGCGGUCUCUGGAGGAAACCAUCAUAACAAGCCAUCCCUGAUAAAACAAAGUACUGUACAUGACUGUCUGAAUUGUGUAUGAUGGGGUCCUGAGAGGUCACCAGCACCUUAUGGUCCCCUUUAAGCUCCUCCCAGUCUUUGGCCGGCUGAGCGUGUGAUGUCCGCUUCAUGGUC